UACGUAGGGGGCAAGCGUUGUCCGGAAUCAUUGGGCGUAAAGAGCGUGUAGGCGGCCAGAUAAGUCCGCUGUGAAAACUCGAGGCUCAACUUCGAGCUGUCGGUGGAAACUAUUUGGCUAGAGUCCGGAAGAGGAGAGUGGAAUUCCUGGUGUAGCGGUGAAAUGCGCAGAUAUCAGGAGGAACACCGGUGGCGAAGGCGGAUCUCUGGGCCUUACCUGACGCUCAGGCGCGAAAGCUAGGGGAGCGAACAGG
rnacentral:rRNA from 1 species